GAACAUUCUUAUACCUGAUACACAAGUUGAAGGAUUUCUCUAGAGGAGAGAAAUUUGCUGAAUAGUAGGAUAUGCAAAAUGUUUGUCCCAAUUUAUGCUCCAAACAGUACUAUAUUCGAGUUUCUUCUUCUCUGCUUAUUUGCUGGCACUUACUGCUGGCAGAUAAUUUUGCUGAUCUAGUAGGUGUAUAGUGGCACCUCAUUGUAUAUUUCCCUGAUUACUAAAUGGGUUAAGCAUCUUGUACUUUUUCCCUGAACAUUCAUGUACAGAUGUACUCUUUAUUUAUGCACUUUCCUUCUGAAGGUCUGUUCUCUAUGCCACACUUUAAGGACUCGUAACAAGUAAAAAAUCUGUUUUCUACCUUCAAGGAGUUUGCAUACCUAGUCAGGGGACAAGAAAUUCAGAAUGCUCAGAUGAAGGUAAGACCGCAUCUAUGAAGGGGUCAUGCCCAGAGCCUGUGGUCCUUGGCCCUUCAGCAUCACUCGUGGAAUCUUCUGCUUAGGAGAAAAUGCGACCAGGCUGAGUUGUAUGUUACCAUUUGUAUAAAUGAUUUAAGAGAAAGGAGGUAUCAGUGUGGCAGAGAGAGCAUGGCUUGAUUUUUAUUUGUUUUAUUUUCAAUUUAAAUGCAGUGCAUAAAAAAAUCAAGGAGCAAUGUACAAGGAAGAAAGUCAAAAUAAUUGUUAUUUUCAUCCCCCAGAGAUAAAAUAUUAGCAGUUUACUCUGUAACACCAGCAUUUGUUUUUGCUUUCAAGUGGCAUUUAAAUGUUUAAGACAAAGAAACUGCUUUAACAAACCAAAAAAAAAAAAAACAUACUGCCACCCUGUUGGGGGAGAGGCGGCAUCUGCUGAGGUUAUUCUUCUGAGAGGCCAGUGAAUAGUAGGAGGUCUCCAUUUCCUUAUCACCAACUUGGGUGGUCUCUGGAGAAUAGGGAACUGUUGUGUUCUAGAACCAAAAAGAAUGAAUCAAAUAAAGGAAAACAAAAGUAAGAAUGCAUGCACCAAAGGCCAGAGACUCCUAGGCUGCAAUCCAGUCUUACAAGGAACCCUCCACAGGAAGGAUUCAGUAAUUCUGGAUAGGAAAAACAUAUUUUCAAUGGUUUUUGCCAGCAUUCCUGAAGAUGACAGUUCUUUCUUAACAGUAAGAAAUAUUUGCAGUGGAGCUGGUACAAGCUACAGAGAGAAGAAAGAUCAUCUCUCUGGGGAUGCUAGGGGAUGGUACAGAACCAUCUCCAAAAAAGAAAGGGAUCCAACUCCCGGAGGAAAGCAGGCCCUGUGGCAUUACGUGGGAAUAGAAAAUAGAGUGGAAAAAACACUCAGCUUAAAAAAUCCAAUGUAAAUAAACUAAAGAUCUUUUCCUAAUAACUACUGGGACAAGUUUGUAAAGAGAAAGGUGAUCAACAAGUAUGGAGAUCUCUACGGAGCAGAACGCAUUGCUGAACUUCUGGGUUUGGACAAAAAUGCUCUUGACUUUAGCCCAGUAGAAGAGACCAAAGCAGAAGCGGCUUCUCUGGUGUCAUGGCUAAGUUCCAUAGACAUGAAGUACCAUAUCUGGAAGCUUGGAGUUGUUUUUACUGACAACUCCUUUCUCUACCUUGCCUGGUAUACAACCAUGUCAGUCCUGGGCCACUACAAUAACUUCUUCUUUGCUGCUCACCUAUUGGACAUCGCAAUGGGCUUCAAGACACUGAGGACCAUUCUGUCAUCUGUAACUCACAAUGGCAAACAGUUGGUUCUGACUGUCGGUCUCCUGGCCGUGGUGGUUUAUCUCUAUACUGUGGUGGCUUUCAACUUCUUCCGCAAGUUCUACAACAAAAGCGAAGACGAUGACGAGCCCGAUAUGAAGUGCGACGACAUGAUGACGUGUUACCUUUUCCACAUGUACGUGGGAGUGAGAGCAGGAGGUGGCAUUGGUGAUGAAAUUGAAGACCCUGCUGGUGAUCCUUAUGAAAUGUAUCGCAUUGUCUUUGACAUUACCUUUUUCUUCUUUGUCAUUGUCAUCCUGCUGGCCAUCAUUCAAGGUCUUAUUAUUGAUGCUUUCGGAGAGCUAAGAGACCAGCAGGAACAAGUGCGAGAAGAUAUGGAGACUAAAUGUUUCAUCUGUGGGAUUGGCAAUGACUACUUUGACACGACCCCUCAUGGUUUUGAAACACAUACAUUACAAGAGCACAACUUAGCCAACUACUUGUUCUUUCUGAUGUAUUUGAUUAAUAAAGAUGAAACAGAGCACACGGGUCAGGAAUCUUAUGUCUGGAAGAUGUACCAAGAAAGGUGUUGGGAUUUCUUCCCAGCCGGUGACUGCUUUCGUAAACAAUAUGAAGAUCAGCUUGGAUAAAUAUGGAUGAAAGAAGCGCCACAAUUCUGGACAGUCAACUUCCCAUGAAAUAAAGUCCUCCUUUUACAGUUCUGCAACAUAUCUGAAAUGUGACAUUUUCUAAAUGCCUCCCUUAAAAAAAAAAAAAAAACUGUUUGCUGAAAAUCUGUGCUAUUUUGAAAUUAAUUUGGCUUUUUGUGCCUAAUGGACAUACACUGUGGGAGAGAACCUGUCAAAAUGUUGAAGAAGGAAGGCGAAGAAUCAAGUAAUCUCUAGGCAAAUGCCUUCAAGUUUUCCAGUUCUGAGGUAACUAGUUUGUUGGGAUGGAAGCAUGAAGGAAAGGGCUAGAGAAGUAUGAAAUCUCGAAUGUGUAAUACCUGAAAAUUUAAACACUUGAAUGUCAUCAUGGUAUCCAACUUGUGACUCAUAGGGUCUGAACUCCAAAAGAUAAUAACUGCAGUCUAAUUUUUCCCAUGGUACUUGCUAGUGACUGUAUCCAGAAAAGCUUUAAGCAGUUAAAGAAACAGAAAAAACCCGACACUUUGUCGACACUGAAAUAUCGAUUAAGUGCCUUAAAACCUCUUUAGACAUAGCUAUGCAAGUUUUUUAUGUUUGUGUUCCAGAAGGACAGUUCCAUUCAUUAGUUGUGAUCUUCCGUCUUACUUUAUGAAACUGCACUUGAAGGUUAUUCAUACAAGUUUUUUUAGUAACAGCUGUCAGUCAACUGCUGUUAUUAGAAGAAAAGUACUGUACUGAAAAUUCAGAAAAAAUCUCAACCUUAUGCCAAAAUGGAGUAAUGCUUUAUGGUCCCUUGUAAGUAGUGGAGCUGCUCUGUU
rnacentral:sRNA from 1 species